rnacentral:rRNA from 1 species
CAAUAGCGUAUAUUAAAGUUGUUGCAGUUAGAACGCUCGUAGUCGGAUUUCGGGGCGGGCCGACCGGUCUGCCGAUGGGUACGCACUGGUCGGCGCGUCCUUCCUUCCGGAGACCGUGCCUACUCUUAACUGAGCGGGGGCGGGAGACGGAUCGUUUACUUUGAAAAAAUCAGAGUGUUUCAAGCAGGCAGCUCGCUCUUGCAUGGAUUAGCAUGGGAUAAUGAAAUAGGACUUUGGUGCUAUUUUGUUGGUUUCGAACACCGAAGUAAUGAUUAAAAGGGACAGUCAGGGGCACUCGUAUUCCGCCGAGAGAGGUGAAAUUCUCAGACCAGCGGAAGACGAACUACUGCGAANGNAUUUGCNAGGGAUGUUUNCACUG